rnacentral:rRNA from 1 species
GUGGGGAAUAUUGGACAAUGGGCGAAAGCCUGAUCCAGCCAUGCCGCGUGUGUGAAGAAGGUCUUCGGAUUGUAAAGCACUUUAAGUUGGGAGGAAGGGCAGUAAGUUAAUACCUUGCUGUUUUGACGUUACCGACAGAAUAAGCACCGGCUAACUUCGUGCCAGCAGCCGCGGUAAUACGAAGGGUGCAAGCGUUAAUCGGAAUUACUGGGCGUAAAGCGCGCGUAGGUGGUUUUGUAAGUUGGAGGUGAAAUCCCCGGGCUCAACCUGGGAACUGCCUCCAAAACUGCAUGACUAGAGUACGGUAGAGGGUAGUGGAAUUUCCUGUGUAGCGGUGAAAUGCGUAGAUAUAGGAAGGAACACCAGUGGCGAAGGCGACUACCUGGACUGAUACUGACACUGAGGCACGAAAGCGUGGGGAUCGAACAGGAUUAGAUACCCUUGUAGUCC